GUCCAGGGGCCGCAGAAACCGAAAGUGCGGUGUGUUUAGGCGCCCCGCUGAGAUUGAUUCACCUUCACCUGUACGAGUACUAGUUGACCAGGUAGGAAACCAGACAGGCAGUAAAAUAUGAACGGAAGAGUGGAUUGUUUGGUCACUGAGGAAGAGAUCAAUCUUACCCGAGGACCCUCAGAGACAUCACAUGCUCAAACUUGGAAGAAGCCUCCAUUGGUUUGAUUUCAUAAGUCGAGUCAUCCACCUGCAGCAUGCCACGCAGACCCCCAUAGCAAGUGUCCAGCGUGCCCAUGGAUCCAGGAACCCCCUCCAAGUAGCUGAAGUAGUAGCAGUCUCGAGGGAUAAAGGGGUAGUCCUCCUGCAUGGCACCUUGGUCGUUAUAGGUGAUAACCGGAAAAUGUCUGGGCAGCAAGUUCUUCUUGACCUUCAUGUGAACCACAUGUCUUCGGCCACUGAAGUGAAUCCUGUAGGAGAGCUGGCCUCGUACCCCAGCUCCGCCCAGCCUGUGGGACACCUUCCUGGGGAUCACAAUUUCAGAGGAAGUGAAACGCCAUCCUGGUAGGGCAUGGGAACAACUGACCUGAGACAGGAGUAGCCAGAGGAGAGGCAGCCAGAGAGCCCCUGUCAGGUGGGCCUUGGCCCAGGCAGGCGCCAUGAGCGAGGGAACCUGUGACCAUAGAGAGUGCAGGCCAGACUAAAGCUGCUGUAGCACCUUUUCCAGCAGGAGGAGAGCAGAGAGAGGCUGGAGGUUUGGCACCCCUAGAGACUGGGAGGGGGAGGGGGUAGCUAUUACAGAACAAUGGUGCAUUCUUUGGGGGAGGCUGUGCUCAGUGAUGUAGGGAGUCUGGGCUGAAAGGUCCCCUGGUCUCUUGGAGAAGACUCAGGGAAAGGAUCAGUGGAUUUUGUGGCAACUUUAAGACACUCGGUGGCUUUUUUCCUCAAGCCUAGAACAUAAUAGGUCAACAUGACAUUAAAAUGGAGAAUGGUGAGGAGAGUGGAAGCUUCUCUGUAUAAGAAUUUUGAGGAGAGAAUUAGAUUCUCUCACACUUUUUAAAAGUUCUUGUAACUAUUGUCUUAUAACUUUGCCCUUUCUUGAUAUGGCAAAGCCCUAGAAAUAGGAUUUAAAUGCAGUUGGGCUGAGUGAUGGAAAGGAAGUGUAAACAGAUGUCGUGGAUAGAAAAGCCAGGGUGUAUAAUGAUAGUUUCUUGUAGAGUGAAACUCACACCUACUUCAUGUGGCCAAGGAAAUUAAUUGCCCACUAAGACUUGCACAUGAAUAUUCAUAGCAGCAUUAUUCAUGAAUUUAUCCUACCAAAUGGAAACAAACAACCAGUACUCAAUAGACGAAUGGAUAAACAAAAGGGUAUAUUUGUCCGAUGGAAUACCUCAGUAAAUCAGAAGAGACUCCUGAUACGUGUAAGAACAUGGAUGUGUCUCACAGAUAUGAUGAUGAUGAUGAUGAUGAUGAUGAUAGAGAGAAACAGGACCAAAGCAACUUAAUAUAUGAUUUAAUUUUUAUGACGUUCUAGAACACUCCAAAACCAGUUCUGGUCACAGAAUUUAAAAUUUCCUGACUUGGGAAUGGAGGAGUGGAGAGAACUUUCUAGUGAUGGAAAACUUGUGUAUCUUGACUGGGGUGUGUUGUAGAUUACGUGAUCGUGUGCCUCCCAAAUUCACAUGUUGAAAUUAUAAGUGUGUCUGGGUUUUGUGAAGUUUGAGUAAAAUUAAAUUUAAAAUUGUAUCGGGGGGAAAAAAAGACUAAAACAUGCAGCGUGGUUGUCUCUAUCAGGUCCCACUCAAAUCACCAAUCUGGCCCCUACAAAAACCCCAUUGAUCCUAAGAAUGACUGUAAAUUACAUCAAGCUCUACCCAGUAGAAUCUCUUAUUGUAGCUGCCGCCUCAGAUGUGCUGUCAUUGCUAGAGCAAACUAAGGUGCCCUCAAGUGCAUGACAUGCAGCCAUUGAUUUAGUGGUAGUACUAAUUGCUGUUAUGACCAGAAAGAGAAUAUCAUAAACAAGCAGGCUUCAUGUGGCAUGGAUAAAUGUACUUAUUUAUAGCUUUGCCCACAAGGGCUGUAUUCACCCAUCCCCCUUACUUUUGUCAUAACUUUGCCCUUUCUUGAUAUGGCAAAGCCCUAGAAAUAGGAUUUAAAAAAUUUGAGGCUAACCAUUAUCAUU